ACUCCUGCGGGAGGCAGCAGUGGGGAAUAUUGGACAAUGGGCGCAAGCCUGAUCCAGCCAUGCCGCGUGAGUGAUGAAGGCCCUAGGGUUGUAAAGCUCUUUCACCGGUGAAGAUAAUGACGGUAACCGGAGAAGAAGCCCCGGCUAACUUCGUGCCAGCAGCCGCGGUAAUACGAAGGGGGCUAGCGUUGUUCGGAUUUACUGGGCGUAAAGCGCACGUAGGCGGACUAUUAAGUCAGGGGUGAAAUCCCGGGGCUCAACCCCGGAACUGCCUUUGAUACUGGUAGUCUUGAGUUCGAGAGAGGUGAGUGGAAUUCCGAGUGUAGAGGUGAAAUUCGUAGAUAUUCGGAGGAACACCAGUGGCGAAGGCGGCUCACUGGCUCGAUACUGACGCUGAGGUGCGAAAGCGUGGGGAGCAAACAGGAUUAGAUACCCCUGUAGUCCC
rnacentral:rRNA from 1 species